AUGCUUUUGCAGAAAAUAUCUUAAAAUUGGUACAAUCUGGAGAAGGUCAACAUGUCCUCUCACAGGGAUGACAGAAAAACAUGAAGCAAUUCAUUUUUUA
rnacentral:snRNA from 1 species